GGUGGGCGGUGUGGAGGAGUCUCCGCUGGUCCGCAGAAACGAACGAAGGCGCGAGAAUCGGGAAGUUCUGCCUCAGUGACCUGUACGCGUCCUAGCCGCAGUGAAUGUUGCUGAACCCCGGUGACCUCACAGUGGAGGGGCGGCCCCAUGGGGCCAUCGGACCGCGCCGCGCGGGGGCGUUCGCCAGGGCCUCCGCAGAAGCCCGCCUGUGCCCGCAACCGCCCCGAAAUUCUCUCCCUGGCACCGUGUCCGCUUUACGGAGCCCGGAGCAAGGCUCAGAAAAAUGUCCCAGCCAAAAACAUGGUACAUGCCUGUCAUCAGGUCUGUGUUUGUCUUGGAGUAAGGAUUAUUCUCGCUUGCUGGGGUCAUGGUGUUUUGGCCUCUCCUGGCCUGGACUCUCAAAAACUCAUCAUCCUUCAUAGGUCUGAAGGCUUCUACAUUCCCACCAGCAGGUGGACCAUAUGAACUCAAAACUAGUUGUGGCAGAGGGACCCUGAAGAGAUCUACCCCUGGUGAAUGCCCCCAGGAGUGGGCUGUUCUCACACCUGGUGCCCAGCCUGUGCCCUCGCAGGUCUUGGUGCCUCCACUCAGCUCAAUUCCAGUUUUCUGGCCAUGCCCCGCUGUGUCCCUUUCUCUCUCCUUAGUGCCUAGCUGUGCAAUGUUUGCCUCUCCUUAACAUGUCCUCAGCUGACCCCAUAUCCUCAGUCCUUGCAACCCUGUUCCUCAGUGACACCUGUGUAUUCUCUCCAGUGGAGACACAGGUGGGACACCCCCAAGCUCAUGGUACAUGCCUG
rnacentral:lncRNA from 1 species